GACGAACGCUGGCGGCGUGCUUAACACAUGCAAGUCGAACGGAAAGGGCUUGUUCCUGUGGCGUGCUGGAGUGGCAAACGGAAGAACAACCCGUGAGUAGCCUGACCACGACUUUGGGAUACCGUCAAGAAACUGGAGCUAAUACCGGAUAGGAGCUCAUCCUGCUGGGUGGGGGCUGGAAAGUGUCGGCGGAGGUGGAUGGGCUCUCGGCUUCUCAGCCGGUUGGUGGGGGAGUGGCUUACCAAGGAAUUGACGGGUAGGAGGCCGGAGCGGGUGACCGGCCACAUUGGUAGGGAGAUGCGGCCGAGACUCCUACGGGAGGCAGCAGUGGGGGAGAAUGCACAGUAAGCGGAGGCCGGAUGCAGCAACGCCGCGUGGGGGAUGUCGGCCGUCGGGUUGUAAACCGCUUUCGCCUGUGACGAAGCGUGAGUGACGGUAAUGGGUAAAGAAGCACCGGCUAACUACGUG
rnacentral:rRNA from 1 species